ACAGUGGCAGUUCAGUGGUAGAAUUCUCACCUUCCAUGUAGGAGACUCAGGUUCGAGUCCUGGCCAAUGUA
rnacentral:tRNA from 1 species